CGGUAGGAGGAGCCAAAUAGCGGGAAAUAAAUAGCAGACGCACCGGUUUCUUCUUCCACUUCCUUCAGAUUUCCACCCGAGCAAAGAAGAAAUGAGGCACCUUUUGCAGAUAAAUGUGUGGAGUGUCUGGGAUCUUGCAGAAGAUGUGAUCCAGGCUUCUUGUGAGGAUAAAAGCCUUAACCCCUGCAGCCCUCCCACCCCAAAUGAGACAAUCAAGGAUGGAAACGGAUAAAUUUGCAUAUGAAAACCAGCUUUUAGAAAGUGCAGUUGGUGCUUUUUCAGAGACCAGUUUCUGGACCUCUUGAUGGCUAUCCUACUUGAAUGACUCCUCUGAGGCUUCCUCUUUGAAGGUCAGGUUCCAGACAUGACAUUGUUCCCAGCUCCAUGGAAUCCUUAAACAGGAAGCAGUGGUGUACUAGUUGGAUCAACGCACGUCCGACCCGGCUCUUAGGUCAGGGGGAUCUUCUCUGGAUUCUGCAGGUUAUCUUCUGAACGACUGAGACCACCUCUCCGUAACUCGUAUUGGGACGGACUACAGGUACUUGUGUUGGGGUGGGGGGGGACCUUCCUCAAGUGCCUGGGAUUGUGAAAGUGAUGAAGUCCAUAUCCAGUCUUGGGGUUGUUUCCCAGUCCUAGCUGUUCCUCACUCCUGUUGCCUCAGUAAUGGCACUGAUAACCCUGCAGCCAACCAGGUGUAAGGUGACCUGCUGAGUUCUGAUGGAGUUGAGUUCUGGCUGGGAGUCUGACUGAAAGUGUCGCUCUGAUCCAUCUGAGACACUUGAUUGAUUCAAUCAGCUGUGUGCAUAUAGUCCGUUUACAUUUUUUAUAAAGGCUGCACUCUGUUUCUUGACAGCCAGAAGUCUCCAUGAUCCUUAAAGGUGAGUCUCUAAUCUUCUUUGGAUGAUGAAAUCCCACUUUAACAUACUGAUGAAUUCCAAUUACCGCCCCAGUCUGAAGAACAGUGAUUGGUUUAUUCUGAUAUGUUUACCAGCUGCUUGAUGCUUAAAAUAUUUGUCUGAUAUUGCCUAAGAUUUUUUUUUUUUCUCCUUCAGCUUAUCCGGGGGACUCCUCUCUAGAAUUUGCUGCCAGAGUUCUAAAUAUUCAGUCUUGUAUUGAAACCCCUGUAUUUUGUACUGUUCAUUAAUGACCAAUGAAAAUAAAGUAUUUGUGCUCAUAA